GAAUCACUAUAUUUAAUAAAUAAAUUCUUACUGCUUGUAAUGAGUACACGACAAUAAUAUAUAUUUUGGUGAGUAAUUUUUCAUCUUCUUUUUAUUUAUGGAGGAAGAAAUGAUUUUAUUUCUCAUGAUCACAUAAUAGAAAUUUGAUUCUGAAGACUUGCUUUUUAUCUGAACAUCACUCACAACUUUUCUAAAGAUUCCUGGCACAAUAUAUGCAAGCCGGACUACUUCAUUGAUAACCUGUCCAAUAUUAUGUAUGUAUAUAUACGUGCAGAUGAAUAUAGCCCAGAAAUGAAGCUAUGGAUUACCCAGAAUCACUGGAUGCUUUAAAUAAAAGUAUAAUUAGUAUCAAAGAUAGUGUUGGAAGUGUUACUGCUUGGCUCGCCGACAAAGUUAUAAUGAGUGCUUCUGCUGGUGCUAGCCACGCGUCAUGUAUGGAGUAAGAGCAGUAGUAUGGAUGGACCAAGCGAAGACAACUCUCAAGUUCAUCAUUGCAUAGAGAAGGAAAAACAAGCUCUUCUCAGCUUGAAGCAAGGCUUUGUUGAUCCACACAGCUUUCUAUCUUCAUGGACAAGCAGCCAAAAAGACUGUUGUACAUGGAAAGGAAUCAGGUGUGAUAACUUAACUCAUCAUAUUAUUAUGCUUAAUCUUCGUCCAAACAUAGUAUACGGAGAAGAAUACAAUACUAUUGCACCUGGGUUCCAUCCAACGGGGCACAAUAAUUAUAUGGUCCUAUUCCAAAUUGGUUUGUUACAUGGAAUUCAAUAUUUGCUUUUGGGGCACAAUAAUUUCUUUGGAAAUCUUCCUUCAUCCUUACAAAAUUGUACGCAACUUAAGGUUCUUGAUGUCGAGGAUAAUAAUCUUGAAGGAAAUAUACCAAUUUGGAUUGGGAAAAGACUAACAAAUUUGAUUUUCUUUCGACUAAAAUCAAAUAAUCUUUUUGGAGCCAUACCAUCAAAGCUAUGCCAUCUUCAAUCUGUUCAAAUAUUUGACAUUUCCAUGAAUAAUAUAGGUGGACAUAUUCCUUCAUGCAUAAAAAAUUUCUCCUAGAUGAUAGAUAAAAGAGACAUUUUUCAAGUAACAUGCAGAUACAUGUUAACUUAGAUGAUAAUACUGGUCUAAACUAUGACAUGGAUACAUUUAUUAUGUGGAAAGGAGUCAACUGCCAAUUCAAAGAGAUUCUGAGAUUAAUAAAUCUAGUUGAUCUAUCAAGUAAUAAAUUGAAUGGAAAAAUUCCCGAGGAGUUAACAAAUCUUGUUGAAUUGAUUGAACUGAACAUUUCAAAGAAUAAUUUGAGUGGAGCUAUCCCAGCGGAUAUUGGGAACUUGAAGAAGUUAGAGUCACUAGAUUUAUCACACAACAAAUUUUCUAGUGUAAUUCCAACAAGCUUGGCCAGUUUAUCUUUUUUGUCUUUCUUAGAUUUGUCAAAUAACAAAUUAUCAGGAAAAAAUCCUAUUGGCACUCAACUACAAAGUUUUGAUGCUUUGAUGUACACCGAUAAUGAUGGAUUGUGUGGACGUCCACUGGCAAAUUCAUGUCUUGGAGAUGAGUCACCAAAUUAUCAUCAAGAUCAUUCAAGUUUUGUUGUAAAUGAAGAAUGGUUUGACAUGUCAGGGCUUCAUAUGGGAAUUGGAGUUGGAUUUGUAGUUGGAUUUGCUGGAGUUUGUGGUAUUUUAUUGCUUAAUACUUCAGGGAGACUUGCCUUCUUCAAUUUUGUUGAUUCUUUUGGAGAUUGUUUAUAUGUGAUAAUUUGUGUCAAAAUGACUUUAUUGAAGAGAAGGCUUUCUAAGUAGCAGCUUAUUCAUCAACUGGUGGUGUCUAUCAAAUGUCACAAGGUGGAGGUUUGCAUUUCAAGUAGUACUAAUGGAUACUCCUCCAUGAAGUUCAUCAAUUACAAUGGCUCCGAAAUUCUCUUCUUUUUGUAAUUGUAUUUUUAUCUUUUCAAGUUACAUAAUAAAAAUUCUCUUUAUUUUUAACUUCGUUCGUGAAUUUAGUGUUCAAAUUGAUGUUUAUGCUCUAUUUUAUCAAAGGUAGAUUUUAUACAAUUCCUAAACUGAAAAUAUGUUCUUCGCAAAGUUUUUAUUUUACUUUGCUACAACAUAAUUAGUUGGAUUUAAAAUGUGGCUUAUUUCUUCUCUUUUGAACUUUCAAAAAAUAAUAAUACUAUAUUUAUGGAUUUAAAGUU